rnacentral:rRNA from 1 species
GAUGAACGCUGGCGGCGUGCCUAAUACAUGCAAGUCGAGCGAACGGACGAGAAGCUUGCUUCUCUGAUGUUAGCGGCGGACGGGUGAGUAACACGUGGAUAACCUACCUAUAAGACUGGGAUAACUUCGGGAAACCGUAGCUAAUACCGGAUAAUAUUUUGAACCGCAUGGUUCAAAAGUGAAAGACGGUCUUGCUGUCACAUAUAGAUGGAUCCGCGCUGCAUUAGCUAGUUGGUAAGGUAACGGCUUACCAAGGCAACGAUGCAUAGCCGACCUGAGAGGGUGAUCGGCCACACUGGAACUGAGACACGGUCCAGACUCCUACGGGAGGCAGCAGUAGGGAAUCUUCCGCAAUGGGCGAAAGCCUGACGGAGCAACGCCGCGUGAGUGAUGAAGGUCUUCGGAUCGUAAAACUCUGUUAUUAGGGAAGAACAUAUGUGUAAGUAACUGUGCACAUCUUGACGGUACCUAAUCAGAAAGCCACGGCUAACUACGUG